CUUGCUCUCUGGGUGGCGAGUGGCGGACGGGUGAGGAAUACAUCGGAAUCUACUUUUUCGUGGGGGAUAACGUAGGGAAACUUACGCUAAUACCGCAUACGACCUACGGGUGAAAGCAGGGGAUCUUCCAGACCUUGCGCGAUUGAAUGAGCCGAUGUCGGAUUAGCUAGUUGGCGGGGUAAAGGCCCACCAAGGCGACGAUCCGUAGCUGGUCUGAGAGGAUGAUCAGCCACACUGGAACUGAGACACGGUCCAGACUCCUACGGGAGGCAGCAGUGGGGAAUAUUGGACAAUGGGCGCAAGCCUGAUCCAGCCAUACCGCGUGGGUGAAGAAGGCCUUCGGGUUGUAAAGCCCUUUUGUUGGGAAAGAAAUCCAGCUGGUUAAUACCCGGUUGGGAUGACGGU
rnacentral:rRNA from 1 species